rnacentral:ncRNA from 1 species
UUGAGCCGUGUAAGUGCGAAAGUCUUAAGCACGGUUCUUAGGGGAGGGGAGAGCGGCGACGCUCGAACCUUACCCGAC